AAGCGAUUCUCCUGCCUCAGCCUCCCAAGUAGCUGGGACUACAGAUUCAUUCUCAUAGAAGGGCAUCAGAGGAAGAUAAAGAAGGAUCCUCAAUGUCAGACAUCUGAGCCCAAGCUAAGCCAUCAUAAUCCCUGUGACGUGCACAUAUACAUGCCCCACUCCAACUAAUCAAUCGACCUUGUGACAUUCCUCCCCUGGACAAUGAAUCUCAUGAUCUCCCAACCCUGCACCUUGUGACCCCUCCCCUGCCCACAAGAGAUAACCACCUUUAAGUGUAAUUUUCCACUACCUACCCAAAUCCUAUAAAGCUGCCCCACCCCUAUCUCCCUUUGCUGACUCUUUGUGGACUCAGCCCACUUGCACCCAAGUGAAAUAAACAGCCUUGUUGCUCUCA